UGUGAAAAAUGGACUUAAGUCACAUUUUUCAGUGCCGUUGUAACUUUGAAUGGUCAGUAAACUAAAUAUUUUUAUGGAUCAUCCAGCUUGUCCACUGAAUGGUCCCCACACUGGCAAUUUAUUUUACACAUUCCCUAAAUUCUUGGGAGGUUAUCCUUAUCAAAGGGCAGCAUUUGCAGAAUUGUGGUGUAAAGGACUGUGGGAGCCAGGUAUAGAAGUCACCAGGAGGUACAUCUGUAUAAGUGUUUGUCUCUGACUCAUAAUUACCUGGAUCUGGGAAGCAUGCAAAUCCAUGGUGAUAAUGUGGUCUGCUCCAGCAACUGAUAACAUGUUGGCAACAAGUUUUGCAGAAAUGGGAGCCCUGCUCUGAAGAAACAAAAUUUGGAUUUUAUGAACUUUGAAAGUAAUUCUUAAAAGUCUACAUUUAUUGCUACAAAUUAUUUUUAUACAAAACAAGUAGAAAUUCCAUCAAAAAUUGUACUGUUCUUUCCAAACAGUAAUGUUCUUAUUCAAGUUAAAACUCAACAGGCAUGUUUUUCUGGAAUAUUAUUUUUUCAUAGUAUUGGCCUUACCAAGCUAUAACAAGCUUUGUCCCUCCCAUCUUUGUUCUGCAUUUUUUUGUUUUUGUUUUAAUGACACAGCAAGUGACAGUGGAACUGUGCAGUGCUUCAAGGCAAAGAAAAAAGUGCUUCAAAGAAUGAAGAAGCAUUCUGAAGAUAUCGGUCUGCACACCUUGUUAAAGCAGCCAUAUAUUUUCCUGGGAUUGUCAUUCUCUAUAGCUACUCUGCAGUCCCUUAAAAAUGUUUGGUUUAUGGAGUGGUGGACAUACGCUACAUUAAUUAGAAGGCCUAGGCAAAGUGCUUCUUCUUAAUUCAGAAUUAUAUGUACUACACAAUUCAACCA